rnacentral:rRNA from 1 species
AUUGAACGCUGGCGGCAUGCUUUACACAUGCAAGUCGAACGGCAGCGCGGGCUUCGGCCUGGCGGCGAGUGGCGAACGGGUGAGUAAUGCAUCGGAACGUGCCCAGUAGUGGGGGAUAGCCCGGCGAAAGCCGGAUUAAUACCGCAUACGACCUGAGGGUGAAAGCGGGGGACCGAAAGGCCUCGCGCUAUUGGAGCGGCCGAUGUCGGAUUAGCUAGUUGGUGGGGUAAAGGCUUACCAAGGCGACGAUCCGUAGCUGGUCUGAGAGGACGACCAGCCACACUGGGACUGAGACACGGCCCAGACUCCUACGGGAGGCAGCAGUGGGGAAUUUUGGACAAGGGGGGCAACCCUGAUCCAGCCAUGCCGCGUGCGGGAAGAAGGCCUUCGGGUUGUAAACCGCUUUUGUUCGGGAAGAAAUCCUCUGGGCUAAUACCCCGGGGGGAUGACGGUACCGGAAGAAUAAGCACCGGCUAACUACGU